AAACUUGACCUGGAAUGGUUGGC
rnacentral:siRNA from 1 species